CCUACGGGAGGCAGCAGUGAGGAAUAUUGGUCAAUGGACGAGAGUCUGAACCAGCCAAGUAGCGUGAAGGAUGACUGCCCUAUGGGUUGUAAACUUCUUUUAUAAAGGAAUAAAACGAGGCACGUGUGCCUUUUUGCAUGUACUUUAUGAAUAAGGAUCGGCUAACUCCGUGCCAGCAGCCGCGGUAAUACGGAGGUUCCGAGCUUUAUCCGGAUUUAUUGGGUUUAAAGGGAGCGUAGAUGGGUUGUUAAGUCAGUUGUGCUAGUUUGCGUCUCAACCGUAAAAUUGCAAUUGAUACUGGCAGUCUUUAGUACACUUGCGGUAAGCGUAAUUCGUGGUGUAGCCGU
rnacentral:rRNA from 1 species